AUUAGUAGCAAUGAGGUUUAAAGUGAUUGCAUGUUCUUACCUAAUUUUAAGAUUGUUUCAUUAAGUAAACACACUUUAAUCAAAGAUGAGAUUUAGCUGCAGAGGGAAGUUGGAGUUUGUGGAGUUUAUUGGCUGCCUUUAGUCAAGAGGUUUACAACAGUCUGCACUCUGGAGUUGAACAGUAUUUGAAGAAUAAUGAAGAUUAAAGGUAAGGUUAUUGGGCAUUAUUAUUAAACUAUUAUGUCCUCCUUAUUCCAGAUGUUGAUCAUGCGCAGAAGGGGUUAGGUUAGGUUUUGGUUUGGGAUUAGGUUUAGAUUUUUUGUUUGCCACAGCUGUUGUUUGACCUGUUGUUUAUCUGGAUGUAAUAUCUGAAAAGUGAAUUUAUUUAACCUUGAUGUUAAUCAUUACUUACUUGUUGUUGUAUAGGUUUAUUAUUUAACAGGCUAAUUUAAUUGAAACAAAACGUCUGUGUCUUCAGCUAUACUUCGCCCUUUAUGGAGAACUUAAGGAAAGUUGUGUUUACUUCCAGAGGCCUCAUUUAAUGUGAACAGAAUGUGAGUCAUUCUCAGUUCUUUAAAGGGCCUAUAAAGAUACAAUCAACUGAAAAUAAAUAUAGUUUUACAGUCAGCUCAAGAUUUAUAGCUAGAUCAAAUACUAAUAAACAGGAAAUGGAAUUUACAUAGGCUGUAUUGUUAUUAAAUGGUACAGUCAGGCACCUCCCGUCUAUUAACCCAUUCCACAUCUUUGUCUUUAUCCUCGUGUUUAUCUGGCUUCAACUUAACAGCAUCUGUGCACUUUUAGUUUGUUCACUUCUGGUGCUGACUUAUCUUGCAUCUCAACAUUCUUUCAUUAAGGAAAUUUCUUCCAAGCUCUUAUUUAGUUUUACUUCUCAAUUAUGAUUUCAUCUUCUAGGUUUUUUUUUCCUUCUGUAGUUUUUUUAGACUUAUGAAGACCAGAACUGUGUUUUGACAAAAAGGGUAUGUACAAAUCUGGCAUGAAUUAAAUCAGAGUUAAAGUUAAAUUGUAUUCAAGUUGAAUGUUAACUUCUAUGCUACUAAUAAAUCCCAGAACUUUUUAAUAACCUUCAAUAAUGCACGUUGUUGCUUUUAGUGACUUGCAUACCUGCACCCAUUGAUGACUCCUUUACCUCAUUUAGCCCUUACAAAAAAAAGUCCAAGUGGCUGACCUAUCAUACUCAACAAGAUCACACACAUAAAUUAUUUGUAUUAUAUAUACUUACUCUGUAAACAUUUUAAUGUAUUUCAUUUUGUUUCAGAUUAUUUCAUUAUUAACUAUCUCUUACAAUAAUGUAAUCUACAAUUUGAAUUCCCUGGGCCAAGUGAAAAUGACUAGUGAAGAUCAGUGGUACCAGCAUCACUUUUUCCCUUUUUCAAAUGCCCUUCUGCUUUGAGUUCUAAGAGGAGUUAGAAAAAUAUCCAAAGUAUCUGAUUUACAGAAUGAUGUGGUGUACAUCAUGGCAACUUCUACCUGUUCAUGUAGAUGCCAUAUUGGAUGAACCUAUCACCCUUCACACCUGGAGGUUAAACUUAUGCAUUUCUGGAUAAAAUCUCCGCAUCUGAUGAGGAAAACAGAUUCUCUGGAUGGCUUUUGUUACUCUUAACUCUCUGCCAAAGUUCUUACAUGCAACAAAAAAACAUUAGGAUACAGAGAAAAUUUUGGCAAUCUCAGAUUACAUCUUUGGGCUGGAGUUUAUACUGUUUUUUUAGGCCAGUAACGGGUUUGAAUGCCGAAUCACACUCCUGGUAUCUUUUAGCACUAUUUUGAAAUAAACCAAGGAGCCUUCUGUAUCUUCCCUUUGUCCUCAGUUAUUGAAAUACGAGCAGACAUGGAGUAUGAAGUCCACCAGAAAUGAUUGUGGUAAAUAUCGCAAGAGUUCAA